GCCGGGGUCGCCUAGCCUGGUAGGGCGCAGGCCUGCUAAGUCUGUUACCGCAAGGUAUCGUGGGUUCGAAUCCCACUCCCGGCACCA
rnacentral:tRNA from 1 species